UGAUUCUUCCUUCAUUGAUUUUUCUUUCAUUGACUCAGGUCAGAAGACAUUUAAAAGAAGAGGAUCUAUCAUAAACUGGGGCUGUUGCUGGGGUUCUAGCACUUGCCUGGACAAUGUGUCUGCACCAUCAACAUCACCUAUGACUGGACAGCUCUCUGGAGUUUCUCUGCCAAAUAUUUGUGAGAAUGACAAUCUGCUCAAACCUGUUCUGUAUUGCUGAUUAUACAAUUUCCGAUUGAAAAUUGUUGUAUAAUACUCGGAGAAAAAAUCACUUUUCUCUUGGGAGAGGUUUCAGUGAGAUGUGACACUGGGGAGAAUGCCUCAGCACAUGGAAAAAGCACCACACUACCCUGAGAAGAGACGAGAAAAGGAACUCAAGGUGCCUCAGUGAUUCAGAAUGUUAUCUUCAUGCAAUCAGGUUCCCUUUGUAGAAACUUACCCAUGAGAGGUGGAGCCAAGAUGGCCGAAUAGGAACAACUCUAGUCUAUAACUCCCAGCGAGAGCGACACAGAAGACG
rnacentral:lncRNA from 1 species